rnacentral:lncRNA from 1 species
UAAUACAAUAGACAACUUUCGAGUUCGAUGCAUUUCCGUCAAAAACUCUGGUUUUAGUGAACGUCUUUUGUGCGUUUAGGGGCGUCGUCACAUCCAUUCCAAUGUUGAGCGAGUGGUUGGAAAACUAUAAUUCUAUAUUGUACGAAUUAUUCGGCAAAUUGAAUUCUCAAAAUUGACAAUCAUCAUUGCUGUCAUUAGGGAAUUGCCAUUAAGUACCUACAGAACAACCAUUAUUUCUAGUUUAUCCUGCACAAUGACGAUCACUAAGACGCUUGAUGAACAUAAAUAGUGCAGGGAUACAGG